rnacentral:sRNA from 1 species
AUUUAUAAAAAGCUUAAGAAACACAAUCUUUUUUAUUUGGAUAUUUGUUGAGUACAAGAGAAGAGGAAGUACGAUUUCACAAAUAAGCAUCAUCCAAACUAAUACAUAAUAUGAAAAAACCAAAAAAACUUCUUGUAAAUUCUUUAAAAAUCUUUUAAAAACCCUUGUACAUCUUUUAAAACCCUUUAAAGCCCUUUAAAAAUCUCUUGUAAAUCUUUUAAAACCCUUUUAAAAUCACUUGUAAAUCUUUCAAAACACUUUCAUCCCUUUCAAAACACUUUUAAACCCUUUCAAAAUCUUUAAAAAACAUUUGUAAAUCUUUUAAAGCCCUUUAAAAUCCCUUGUAAAUCUUUUCAAACCCUUUUAAAAUCUCUUGUAAAUCUUUUAAAACCCUUUUAAAAUUCCUUGUAAAUCCUUUUAAAAUUCCUUGUAAAGAAUUUAAAACCCUUAUAAAAUCCUUUGUAAACCUUUUAAAACCCUUUUAAAAUCCCUUGUAACUCUAUUUCCCGCCAAAAAACAUUUUU